AUAACAUCAUUCAACUUGAACUCGCGAUAAAGGUGGCUGCUAAAAAUGCAGACCUCACAAUUUUUCCAUCUACCGCCCUCCCAGUUCAACAUCGGAGAAUGCAAGCAAAGUACUAUUUGUGGGGUGUCUUCAGAGGAAAGCAAACUUCACGUAAGAUGAAUGGUGCUGUGUCCAUAGCGGAUUCUGGUGUUUACAAGUUCCCAAACAGGCAAACCAAUAUUGGUGGUCAUGAUUCUAAUGCAUAGCAUUCGUUUGCUUCUGGCCAGUGGCUACUGAUAUAUUAAUAAUAUCUAUAGUAAUUGCAGAGGUUUCUGUAGUAUCAGAGGCCCACGGUAAUUAAUGAUUGUAUUAUCUCUUCAUAUAUCUAACUAUAAAGUUAAAUCUUUUCCAGCUAGACGAGAUCAACUGAUUAAAACUAAUUAUAAGAUAAUGAAUUUAGAAUUGUGUAGCUGGGAAGAGAAUUUUGAGUAUAGAUAUGCUGUAAAGAGAUGUGUUAGGAUUGCUGUUACCCUUUUCAUUGUCAGGAGAGAAGCUCAAAUAUGUGUAUAUAACUAUAUAUUAUUGAGUGUGUUAGGAAAUGUAACGUACUUGUACAAUUCAUGAUUGAUGCAAACAUUUUGGCA